AUGGAAUUCGAAGAUGUUCUGAACUAUGAAGUCAGCAUUAUCAAGACACAGGGAGGACCACAGGCAGAAGACAGAAGUACCAGAGAUUCAUGGAAGAAAAAGCAGGCAAACAAGUGUGAGUUCAGGAGGAUUUGUGCAUUCAUCAUAAAUCAGCCAAGAGAUAUCAACAUCCAAAAGGAGGGGUAGAAGCUUGAGUUGCAACCAAGAAAACCAGCUGAGAAGAUUCACCCACACAGAUGGCCUCUAGGGACAGCUGCCAUACAUUCAAUCCAUCACACAGGCAAAGGAGGGUGCAGAGCAAUCAGGCAAGUGUUUAUGCAUCAAAAUAUAAUUGGCUAAAUUUUCAGAGAUGCUGAGCUUCAAAAGUAGAUAGUGUGAGCAAUCAGGCAGAGAAAGAUACUUCAGAAUCUGAGGAAAGUAAGACAGGGCAUUUCAGAAAUCCAUAUUUCUUCCUAAGUCACAAAAA
rnacentral:lncRNA from 1 species